GGCCAACAUGGCAAAACCCCGUCUCUACCAAAAAUACAAAAAUUAGCUGGGCACGAUGGGACAUGCGUGUAGUCCCGGCUACUGGCGAGGCUGAGGAGGGAGGAUUACUUGAGCCCAGGAGUUUAAAGUUGCAAAGAGCUGAUAUUGUGUCACUGCACUCCUGCUGGGCAACAGUGAGACCCUGUCUCAAAA